UACGUAGGGCGCAAGCGUUGUCCGGAAUUAUUGGGCGUAAAGAGCUCGUAGGUGGUUUGUCGCGUCUGUCGUGAAAGCCCGGGGCUUAACUCCGGGUCUGCGGUGGAUACGGGCAGACUAGAGGCAGGUAGGGGAGAACGGAAUUCCUGGUGUAGCGGUGAAAUGCGCAGAUAUCAGGAGGAACACCGGUGGCGAAGGCGGUUCUCUGGGCAUUACCUGACGCUGAGGAGCGAAAGUGUGGGGAGCGAACAGG
rnacentral:rRNA from 1 species